UUUUUAUUUAUUAACAGACAGAUGAUAAUUACCUCUAUGCACUCAACGUUUUUAUCCAGAGAGCGCUUUUUAAAACAAGUAAUAAACAUUAAGCAAAAGGAAAACAUGACUGGGAAGUAAAGCUAUAUUGCAACCCCAAGGAACACUAGGCCCAAAAUAGCAUUGCUGAGCAGAUGAGCUCUGGCCACAGCUAUCCGCCCAAUCACCAGCCAGCAUCGACUCUAGAGAGUUGGGCUAUACACACUUCCUCAAUGCAGCAGCCUCAAGGAAGCGAGGGUCAGUCACAUGCGAUGGCUGAAGAUGGCUGUAACAAAGCCGGGAUUGUUACCACAGACGCUCAAGAUCCUAAGGGCACAGAAGAACACUUCCAAACAACCGUGCACAUUUAUUCCGCAAAGACCACCCCCUUGGCUCUUCUGAAGGAGAGGGCCACAGCACCCCUGGGGCCGGGUGGACUCACUCGGUGAGAUGGUCCUGGAUGAAGGAAACUGAAGCUGACCACCCUCACACAAGUGUUCUUUUGCCUGGCCCCACGGCGGACAGAAGCAGCCCCUUUCCUCAGGUUGAAACUGACAGCAAUUCCGGGCAGAAAAGCAAGAGAAAUCCCUCCCAUGCCCUCUGGGAGCCCAAGCACCACAUGGUAUCCGCAGCGCUUCUGAACCAAAGACCAAACUGUCUCGGCAAUGAUUCAAAAUCAAAAUAAAGCAGGACAGGAAGCAA